CGACAGAAGGUAUUAGAUAUCUUGUUCUCAUUUUUUUCAUUUGUCAUUAACUAUGUUUACUUUCAAUCUAACAUGCACAUACAUCAUAUGCUAAGGAUUGGUACCAGCAUUUGAAGAGCUUUGCCCAUAGAGUAAACAUAGCUUCCGUAUCAAACAUCUAUACUCCAGCUUCAAGGCAAAGCAUCUAGGAAAGGGGUUGAAGGAUGUUUUGUGGAACUAUACUAGAGCAAUGUAUGUGGAGAACUUUGAGGAG
rnacentral:lncRNA from 1 species